rnacentral:rRNA from 1 species
GUGAGGAAUAUUGCGCAAUGGAGGCAACUCUGACGCAGCCAUGCCGCGUGCAGGAAGAAGGCGCUACGCGUUGUAAACUGCUUUUAUCCGGGAAGAAACCCCUCGACGUGUCGAGGGUUGACGGUACCGGAGGAAUAAGCACCGGCUAACUUCGUGCCAGCAGCCGCGGUAAUACGAAGGGUGCAAGCGUUAUCCGGAUUCAUUGGGUUUAAAGGGUGCGUAGGCGGAGCGCUAAGUCAGUGGUGAAAUCCUGCAGCUUAACUGUAGACUUGCCAUUGAUACUGGCGUUCUUGAGUGCGCUUGAAGUAGGCGGAAUGUGCCGUGUAGCGGUGAAAUGCUUAGAUAUGGCACAGAACACCAAUUGCGAAGGCAGCUUACUAAGGCGAUACUGACGCUGAGGCACGAAAGCGUGGGGAGCGAACAGGAUUAGAUACCCCUGUAGUCC